rfam:Salmo salar isolate Sally breed double haploid chromosome ssa20, whole genome shotgun sequence.
UGCAUUCACUACUGUAAGUUGCUCUGGAUAAGAGUGUCUGCUAAAUUACUAACA